rnacentral:rRNA from 1 species
UAGAGUUUGAUCCUGGCUCAGAUUGAACGCUGGCGGCAUGCCUUACACAUGCAAGUCGAACGGCAGCACGGGGGCAACCCUGGUGGCGAGUGGCGAACGGGUGAGUAAUACAUCGGAACGUGUCCUGUAGUGGGGGAUAGCCCGGCGAAAGCCGGAUUAAUACCGCAUACGAUCUACGGAGGAAAGCGGGGGAUCUUCGGACCUCGCGCUGCAGGGGCGGCCGAUGGCAGAUUAGCUAGUUGGUGGGGUAAAGGCCUACCAAGGCGACGAUCUGUAGCUGGUCUGAGAGGACGACCAGCCACACUGGGACUGAGACACGGCCCAGACUCCUACGGGAGGCAGCAGUGGGGAAUUUUGGACAAUGGGGGCAACCCUGAUCCAGCAAUGCCGCGUGUGUGAAGAAGGCCUUCGGGUUGUAAAGCACUUUUGUCCGGAAAGAAAACUUCGUCCCUAAUAUGGAUGGAGGAUGACGGUACCGGAAGAAUAAGCACCGGCUAACUACGUGCCAGCAGCCGCGGUAAUACGUAGGGUGCGAGCGUUAAUCGGAAUUACUGGGCGUAAAGCGUGCGCAGGCGGUCUGUUAAGACCGAUGUGAAAUCCCCGGGCUUAACCUGGGAACUGCAUUGGUGACUGGCAGGCUAGAGUGUGGCAGAGGGAGGUAGAAUUCCACGUGUAGCAGUGAAAUGCGUAGAGAUGUGGAGGAAUACCGAUGGCGAAGGCAGCCUCCUGGGCCAACACUGA